AACUCUGAUCAUCCAACUCAUUCUGCCAAGUGCCAAUAAUGUGUGCUUGCGUUGGCUGCAUGAUUUUCUGUACGGAAGAUUCAACGCAGCAAAGUAACUGGUGAAGACGGUGGAAUUUUUCUUGUUCGCUUUUUGGACACUUUUACAAGUGAGAAGCUUCUGCAUGGAAAGAACUUCCACCUGAUUCGGGGGAAAAAGGAGACCAUUUUGGAGCGACACAGAUGGCGGGAGCAGUGCUCCUUGGCGUUCACUCACCGUUUCCUAAUUCCUUGGCAUCCACGUACCGUUGAGGCGUUGACCUCCUCCAUCACCAUCGUUGCGCGGCGGUCUUGCGUCUUAAUAAUCUUAUCCCCGUUGGAUAUCUAUAUCUCCUUGUUAAUUCAUGUCAAGGGCGGAGGGAGGAAAAAAACAUAGGGAGGGCUAGAAUAGAUGAUUUAUUGGUCGGGCCGAAGCAUAAAAACUGAAACUUAUAGGAUAAAAUUGCAAAGGUUAUGAGGAGGGUCAAGUACAAAUUCCAAAUAUUAGAGGGGGCCAGAGCCCGUGCUAGCCUGGGUGCUCCCUC